AUGCUUACCUGGCAGGGGAGAUACCAUGAUCGUGAAGGUGGUUUUCCCAGGCUGAGGCUUAUCCCUUGCACUCCGGAUGUGCUGACCCCUGUGUUUUCCCCAAAUGUGGGAAACUUAACUGCAUAAUUUGUGAUAGUGGGGGACUGUGUUUGUGCUCAAAAAAAAAAAAAAUCACACAAUAUCUCU
rnacentral:snRNA from 1 species